AGGACGAACGCUGGCGGCGUGCUUAACACAUGCAAGUCGAGCGAUGAAGCUCCUUCGGGAGUGGAUUAGCGGCGGACGGGUGAGUAACACGUGGGCAACCUGCCUUGUAGAGAGGAAUAGCCAUUCGAAAGGAUGAUUAAUACCUCAUAAUAUUGUAGCUUCGCAUGAAGCAACAACCAAAGGAGCAAUCCACUACAAGAUGGGCCCGCGGCGCAUUAGCUAGUUGGUGGGGUAACGGCUCACCAAGGCGACGAUGCGUAGCCGACCUGAGAGGUGAUCGGCCACAUUGGGACUGAGACACGGCCCAGACUCCUACGGGAGGCAGCAGUGGGGAAUAUUGCACAAUGGGGGAAACCCUGAUGCAAGCAACGCCGCGUGAGUGAUGACGGUCUUCGGAUUGUAAAGCUCUGUCUUCAGGGACGAUAAUGACCGGUACCUGAGGAGGAAGCCACGGCUAACUACGUGCCAGCCGCCGC
rnacentral:rRNA from 1 species